rnacentral:piRNA from 1 species
UGUAGCCGAACCUUCAAUUUUGCAGCA